rnacentral:lncRNA from 1 species
ACCUGUUUGACUUUCCAGAAAGAGCAAAGCAAAAGACAGAAGAAGAGGUCGUGUGUAUUUGAGACUGGUGCUUUUCUUUCAAGGAAAGGUUCUGAGGCUGCCAAGAACAUUGCUGAAAGUCACUGGAAAUUAGGACAACUCCUUUCCAGGUACAGUAAUUAAGCAACAGAUAUCAGUUGCCAAAAUAGAACUGGCCUAGAAAAUUUCACUCAAAGUUAAGCAAUUCAUCGAGAAUCCUUUAUUAUUUUUUAAGAUAUAAAUAUAUAUCUUUUCAUCAUUGUUCUCUUUGAUAAUUUUUUCAUCUUCAUAUUAAUAUUUUAAAUGCGUAUCUAAUGACAAGUCAAGUAGUAACCUAUUCUUGCCUGUUGACUAAUGAACCUGUCUUAGAUAUAUUCUGUGGAUUAACAUAGGCAUCCUUUUGUAACUAUGAGUUGCAAUCACUAUCUUUAUCAAGGGUUUUUAGUGCUCCUAUAAUUUCGCUUUGCUAUAUUAAGUUCUGCUGUUU